GACAGAGGGUGCUAGCGUUGUUCGGAAUGACUGGGCGUAAAGGGCGCGUAGGCGGUUUUUCAAGUCAGAUGUGAAAGCCCCGGGCUUAACCCGGGAACGGCAUUUGAUACUGGAUGACUGGAGUACGAGAGAGGAAAGCGGAAUUCCUAGUGUAGAGGUGAAAUUCGUAGAUAUUAGGAGGAACACCAGAGGCGAAGGCGGCUUUCUGGCUCGUAACUGACGCUGAGGCGCGAAAGCGUGGGGAGCAAACAGG
rnacentral:rRNA from 1 species